rnacentral:misc_RNA from 1 species
AUGCGAUAAGUAAUGUGAAUUGCAGAAUUCAGUGAAUCAUCGAAUCUUUGAACGCACAUUGCGCCCCUUGGUAUUCCGGGGGGCAUGCCUGUUCGAGCGUCAUUUCAACCCUCAAGCUUAGCUUGGUAUUGAGUCUAUGUCAGUAAUGGCAGGCUCUAAAAUCAGUGGCGGCGCCGCUGGGUCCUGAACGUAGUAAUAUCUCUCGUUACAGGUUCUCGGUGUGCUUCUGCCAAAACCCAAAUUUUUCUAUGGUUGACCUCGGAUCAGGUAGGGAUACCCGCUGAACUUAA